rnacentral:lncRNA from 7 species
AGGUUUUCGAAGAGAAAAUGGUGAUUUUCACUUAAAUGGGGGAUUUCUGAAGAGAAAAGGGUUGAUUUUCACGAAAAUGUGGGAUUUUCGAAGAGAAAAUGGGUGAUUUUUGCUUAAAUGGGGCAUUUUCGGUAAAAAGGGGCCAUUUAUCACAAAAAUCACCUGUUUUCUUUCAAAAUCCCUCAUUAGCAGAAAUCACCCAUUUUCUCUUCAAAAUCCCUGAUUUAAGUGAAAAUCACCCAUUUUCUCUUUGAAAAUCCCCCAUUUAACCCCAAAAUCACCCAUUUUCUCUUCGAAAAUCCUCAUUUACGCAAAAUCACCCAUUUUCUCUUCAAAAUCCCCU